UUAAAUUGAAGAGUUUGAUCAUGGCUCAGAUUGAACGCUGGCGGCAGGCCCAACACAUGCAA
rnacentral:rRNA from 1 species